rnacentral:rRNA from 1 species
UACGGGAGGCAGCAGUGGGGAAUAUUGCACAAUGGGCGAAAGCCUGAUGCAGCUAUGCCGCGUGUAUGAAGAAGGCCUUAGGGUUGUAAAGUACUUUCAUCGGGGAGGAAAAACAAAACUAAUAAUUUUAUUUCUUGACGUUACCCGAAAAAGAAGCACCGGCUAACUCCGUGCCAGCAGCCGCGGUAAUACGGAGGGUGCUAGCGUUAAUCAGAAUUACUGGGCGUAAAGAGCGCGUAGGUGGUUUUUUUAAGUCAGAUGUGAAAUCCCUGGGCUUAACCUAGGAACUGCAUUUUGAAACUGAAAUACUAGAGUAUCGUAGAGGGAGGUAGAAUUCUAGGUGUAGCGGUGAAAUGCGUAGAUAUCUGGAGGAAUACCUGUGGCGAAAGCGGCCUCCUAAACGAAUACUGACACUGAGGUGCGAAAGCGUGGGGAGCAAACAGGGAUUAGAUACC